AUUGAACGCUGGCGGCAGGCCUAACACAUGCAAGUCGAGCGGAUGAAGGGAGCUUGCUCCUGGAUUCAGCGGCGGACGGGUGAGUAAUGCCUAGGAAUCUGCCUGGUAGUGGGGGAUAACGUCCGGAAACGGGCGCUAAUACCGCAUACGUCCUGAGGGAGAAAGUGGGGGAUCUUCGGACCUCACGCUAUCAGAUGAGCCUAGGUCGGAUUAGCUAGUUGGUGGGGUAAAGGCCUACCAAGGCGACGAUCCGUAACUGGUCUGAGAGGAUGAUCAGUCACGGUGGAACAGCGACACAGACCAGACUCAGAGGGCAGGUGGGAGUGUGGAAUAUUGAAGCGUGGGAGAAUGAGUGAACGCCCCAUGGCGUGUGUGUGAAGAAGGUGGGCGGAUGGUAAAGCUGUUUAGGGGGGGAGGAGGAGUAGUAUGUUAAUACCUUGCUGUUGUGAAGUUAACAAAAGCAUAACCACCGGCUACCUUCGUGCCAGCAGCCGCGCUAAUAGUCGGCAGAGCACACGUGUGAUC
rnacentral:rRNA from 1 species